rnacentral:rRNA from 1 species
GAUGAACGCUGGCGGCGUGCCUAAUACAUGCAAGUCGAGCGAACAGACGAGGAGCUUGCUCCUCUGACGUUAGCGGCGGACGGGUGAGUAACACGUGGAUAACCUACCUAUAAGACUGGGAUAACUUCGGGAAACCGGAGCUAAUACCGAAUAAUAUAUUGAACCGCAUGGUUCAAUAGUGAAAGACGGUUUUGCUGUCACUUAUAGAUGGAUCCGCGCCGCAUUAGCUAGUUGGUAAGGUAACGGCUUACCAAGGCAACGAUGCGUAGCCGACCUGAGAGGGUGAUCGGCCACACUGGAACUGAGACACGGUCCAGACUCCUACGGGAGGCAGCAGUAGGGAAUCUUCCGCAAUGGGCGAAAGCCUGACGGAGCAACGCCGCGUGAGUGAUGAAGGUCUUCGGAUCGUAAAACUCUGUUAUUAGGGAAGAACAAAUGUGUAAGUAACUAUGCACGUCUUGACGGUACCUAAUCAGAAAGCCACGGCUAACUACGUG